rnacentral:tRNA from 3 species
GCCGAUGUAGCUCAAUGGAAGAGCACAGCUUUCGUAAAGCUGAGGUUGAGGGUUCGACUCCCUCCAUCGGCU